rnacentral:rRNA from 1 species
CGACCGCUGGCGGCGUGCUUAACACAUGCAAGUCGAACGGAAAGGCCCCUUUGGGGGUACUCGAGUGGCGAACGGGUGAGUAACACGUGAGUAACCUGCCCUUGACUUCGGGAUAACUUCAGGAAACUGGGGCUAAUACCGGAUAGGAAUCCUUGCUGCAUGGUGGGGGUUGGAAAGCUUCGGCGGUUUUGGAUGGACUCGCGGCUUAUCAGCUUGUUGGUGGGGUAGUGGCUUACCAAGGCUUUGACGGGUAGCCGGCCUGAGAGGGCGACCGGCCACAUUGGGACUGAGAUACGGCCCAGACUCCUACGGGAGGCAGCAGUGGGGAAUAUUGCACAAUGGGCGGAAGCCUGAUGCAGCAACGCCGCGUGCGGGAUGACGGCCUUCGGGUUGUAAACCGCUUUCAGCAGGGGCGAAGCUUGUGGUGACGGUACCUGCAGAAGAAGCACCGGCUAACUACGUG